UAUGUGAAAGUUUAGGUACAGCUGCCAGGUGCUUUGAAAUGAUGCAACAAGAGUCUGUGGAUAUUUAUUGAUGUAAUAAUGUGAUUUGGACUAAACAUUUUACUUGAUUUGAUCGUUUGGACAUUUGACAAUGAAACAACACCGUUUUUGUCGGGAAGUUAUGGAUCAGUGGAAUGCUAUGAGGCUUCAUAGAGAAUCAAAAUCAAACUGACUUGGAAAUGAGGGUGAAUAAAAAGGCUUUUUGAAGAAAACGAUUUUUUAAAAAAGUUGUCAUAUAGAAUGAACAUGUUUGCUUUGAGGGCUUUAUUUUUCUGCACUGGAAUCAGUACACAGUGUAGCACCAAACAACAGACAGCAGAUCCAGUCUUCUGAUAGCAGCAUUCUUUUGAGAGCCUGCAAAAAAGAAAACCAUGACAUCCAGCAGGUAAGAAGCACCAUCACUAGAGGACUUGGAGAUUGUUUUAUUUUGUUAGAUUUUCCCAUGUGUACUGCUGUGCAUUGGUAAAUCAAAUGAAUAAUUAAAAAUAACAAUUUUAUAAAAAUACCAGCUCAAAAUGUGCUGGUGUUUAAUUAAAGAGAUCAGCAGGUGACCUGUGUUCAGGAACACCAGAGGAAACAACAUGGGAGCAGAUCUCAUUUGGAGUCCUGUAAUUUGGGUUAUCUUACACACACACACACACACACACACACACACACACACACACACACACACACACACACACACACACACACACACACACACACACACACACACACACACACA